UACGAAGGGGGCUAGCGUUGUUCGGAAUCACUGGGCGUAAAGCGCACGUAGGCGGAUUUUUAAGUCAGGGGUGAAAUCCCGAGGCUCAACCUCGGAACUGCCUUUGAUACUGGAGAUCUUGAGUCCGGAAGAGGUAAGUGGAACUGCGAGUGUAGAGGUGAAAUUCGUAGAUAUUCGCAAGAACACCAGUGGCGAAGGCGGCUUACUGGUCCGGAACUGACGCUGAGGCGCGAAAGCGUGGGGAGCAAACAGG
rnacentral:rRNA from 1 species